UACGGGGGGGGCAAGCGUUGUUCGGAAUUACUGGGCGUAAAGGGCGCGUAGGCGGCCUGCUAAGUCGGAUGUGAAAUCCCUCGGCUCAACCGAGGAACUGCAUCCGAUACUGGCGGGCUUGAAUCCGGGAGAGGGAUGUGGAAUUCCAGGUGUAGCGGUGAAAUGCGUAGAUAUCAGAAGGAACAUCAGUGGCGAAGGCGGCUUUCUGGACCAAUACUGACGAUCAGGUGCGAAAGCGUGGGGAGCAAACAGG
rnacentral:rRNA from 1 species